rnacentral:lncRNA from 1 species
ACGUAUUUGACCAACUCCAUUUCUUCCACUACUUCAUUUCUCCAUUACCAAGCUUGCGAGACAAGCACGAAAAGAAGUGAGUAUCCCUCACAUUUUAUAUAUGAUAGUAUAUUCAUUUGAGUUUGAGAUUUACAGAUGCAAUUGGUACGUAAAUAUUAAGAUUUUUACAUGUUGAGGUGAAUUCAUAAGAUCUUCUGCAAUUGGUACAUACAUAUUAAGAUCAUAAAGAAUAUGCUAAUAAGAUACUUCAAUGAGGUGAAUUCAGUUUUUGUGUAGCGCCUCUUUGUUUCGUUAUCUUUGCAUAUCUCUCUCUUAGCGAUAGAGCCACGUUGGAAUUUACUUCUAUAAUAUUUAUGUGUAUGUUAUACCAGUCAUAUGACUUGCUUGCUACUUUAAUUUGAUUCUUAUUUACGAAAUUCGCAGGUUAGAUAAUUGGCUGAUAUGGUAGAUAUGUACAAUGAAGAUCUUUACACCGUGCAUAAUAAGGAACUAUCUUGUGGUGUUAUAGCAAGUUGAGUGCUCUACAACUGCAGUUUAUUGUUUUUAACUAUUCAAAUCAGUAUUUUUUCUGAACAAAACAAAACAAUUGAAACUUGAGUACAUAGUUAAAUUCAGUCCUUUCUGACUGAAUUUUCUUGGUACCUUUUCUACCAUACUGAGAUAAUUAAUGUAUGCUCAGUUGUCAUGCCAUAUAGAUUUGCUGCUCUAAGAACUUAUNNNNNNNNNNNNNNNNNNNNAGAUUCAUUGUUAGAUUUCAAUAGCUGAAGUUCAAACUUCCCUAAUAUUCAGUCUGAUAGAUGUUAUAUAUGACCUUUUCCUUUCAGCUUUGACAAAGGUUCAUAUGUAUUUGAGAUAGUUGUGAUGUUCAAGAUGUAUAUAACACUGAUGGAAGCCAAGCAGUAGCUACUAAAGAGUCCCUAUUGCUGGUAUAGUAACAUACAAUUGAGACUUCGGUUGUGGAAGCUUUGGCUUAGUUGGUUGCACUUAGUUGGUUUUGUGUUUGUGUCAAGGAGCUAAUUGGUAAAAACAGUUAGAGUUUGAUGUGUUUGUAUUGAUAGUUUUGAUGUAAGAUUGGUAGUAAUUUUGAGAGAUUUAAUUCAGUGUAACAAUUCUUUUUCUAAUAUGUUUAAUUUCUUUUUGCACAGCUUUUGUCAAAAAAAAAAAAAANNNNNNN